UUCUUCUCUUUCCUUCUUCUUCUUCUUCUUCUUCGUUUUCUCUCGGGCGAUUCUGAGAGACUUUUCUGAAGCUGUGAAAUCAAAAAGAAACUUAGUGGAAUCAAUUAUCUAGUUUGAUAGAUGAAGAAGUGGUGAUUUUUCUGUGAAUCUUUGAAGAAGAAGAUGGUUUUGAUAAUGAAUCGAAAACAGGUAAUUUUGGGAAAUAAAGCUCAGUGGACUAAAAUGUGGAAUUCCACUCGUAAGCUGGAGGAAAUGAAGUCAUUUACAAUUCAAUGGGCUAGGCCCAAAAGGAAGAAGAUGGAGAAUUAUUUCAUUUUUCCAAUUAUUUGGAUAUGGGAGUGUGGAAAAUAUGGAGCCCAUAUGUCGACAUCAUUUACAAGAUAUUAAAAAGAUAUAUGGACAUAUUUAUUUUAAUGAAAAAAUAAAAGUGUUAAGUAAAAAAUCUACAUGGAGUAAUUGAUGGGAAUUAAAUAUAUAAAGAGUAUGGAAAGAAUAUUAUUCUUUAUGGUUGGAGUUAAUAAAGAAUAAAUAAUUCCCAAAUAAGGGAAAUUGGAAAUGCAUGAGAAUUAUAUAUAUUGACGCGUGACACAUUCUUAUUGGAUGAUUUUUCAUUGUCUUGAUAUGUGGCGUAUUCUCAUUCAGUGAUGAUGUGGUAGUGGUGAAUAGAAAAGGAAAGUGUAUUCCUUUGAAAGCUAUAAAUACGAUGUGGAUACAAGAAAAAGGGAGGUCCGGAGUCUGAGCGAAAGAGUAGAGUUUUUAUUUCAUUGUUUUGAUUUCUCUUCUGUAAUAAUGAAGUAAUUCCUGCGCUAGGGUAGAGGAAGAAACUAUUUUUGAUGGGUAAUAUUUAAUAUUUAAAUUCUUUGA